CUGCGUGGCUUGGGGCUCGCACGGCGUUGUCGUGGUCUCCAUGGCGGCGACGCGGGCUCCACACGACAACCUUCCUCCCUCAACCUCCACCACGGUGGCGUGUGCAGGUUCGCUAGAUGCAGAGCGGACCCAACUCGACGCGCUCUCUGACGGCCAUGCCCAAAUCCAGCAAGGAGGAGGGACGCACAGAUCUAGCAGAUGCGACGGUAGUGGACUUGAUUGGGCCUGACAAUAGGCUCGAUUGGGCUCGCUAGUUUUUUUUAAUUUUUUUUAUAUUGAUUAACGGAGGCGGGUAUAAGUAACCGCCUCCAAUAGGUCUAGAUUAACCAUGACCUUUGAUUGGAGGCGGUUGCACAAGCCCGCCUCCAUAAACCAAAAAUGAUCACCCCCAAAAAGAAUUAUGUAGUAGUGGGAAGCCGCGUAUGAAUUGUGCGUUGUACGCUGAUCUUGUCGAAUAUUGGCAUGAAGGUUCUAGAUGCCAUGAGAUGGUGUCCUCAUGCUCAUGUCAAGAUAAAUGAACCCCGGUUCGAACGAAAUUUACCAAAAUUUCAAAGAUCCAUCCAUUUCGACCGGGUCCAAAUUAUUUUGACAUUCGUACCCUAGACAUGAAAGACGAGCAGAUAGCUCGCUCUAUGAAAUGAAUUUAUGCUGCAUUGCCUGGUUAACCGCCAGCAUUAUAUUAAUUAGCUCUGGGACGGGCGGUCUUAAUUUAUUAGCAUGGAAAUGUGGUUGAGUUCGAUCUGGGCGAGGGUUCACGAUUGUACAUUCCCUCCCCCACAUGACGCCAAUCAUUCAUCCCUCCAUUCAUUCCAGCGUGAUUGCUAAAAUCCAAAAUUUUCUACUCCAGUGGGCAAGUAUAUAUUAUUUUUUAAAACAAAUCUAGUAAAAGAGUUGUCCAUUGUAAAAAAGAAAGAAAGAAAGAAACCGUGGGCUGCCCAUUUGUCAUAAGGGAAUGAAUGGUGGCGAAUCUAAAAGAGUAAAGAUGAUGACAAAAGUCAUACACUACUG
rnacentral:lncRNA from 1 species